GGUGAAGCUGAUUUAAUCAAGAAAACAAACCCCUCCCUAUGCUGAUGAAACAGUCGAAAUGGUUUUGGCUGAUAAGACUGUCAUAAAAUCCAUGCAUCAUGCAACAGAUCACACAUGUUUCGGAUCCAGCGAGACCUUAUGAUAGGAAAGUGGCGUGUGAUUGAAAACUUUAAGGUAUCCGGUGUGGGUAAAGGAAAAUACUCACCAUGCUAACUAUUAAAUAGAAUGUUUUAUACCUUUCAAAAUUUAAGGAUAUUUUAUUUAUAGUUUGUAUCAUGCUAACUAUUAGUUAUUUAUUUGAUCAUAAUUCCAAAUUCAACUUUAUGUUUCCUAUGUAUACUAUACGUACCUUAAAUUAUAUGUACACCGUCUGUUUUUUUUUAUAAUAGCAACAAUUAAUACAAACAAUCAAAAAAAUAUACGAAAAAAUUAAUACCCGCCCAACCGGGCGGGUCAAGAUCUAGUUAUUCAUUAUUUUAGAUGUUCAAUAAUAUCUUAGUGUAUUUUGGAUACAUAUAGGAAUUGAGAUCAUUGGAAUUUUGAAUGUUUCAGAUUUUGUCGGAUAUCCAUUUAGGUUCGGGUUCGGUCCGGAUAGUAUCCAUAACCCAAAAUAUCAUAAAACAAGAUCCAUUCAGUAUUUAUGUCGGGUUUGGAUCGGUUCGGAUUUAUUUUAAUCGGAUCAAGUUCGGUUUAUUUGCCAAGCCCUAGUUUUAACAUUGGUUGAUGCUUCCCUGCAGUUUCUUUGUUGAUUCUUUAAUUUUUAUUUAAGUCGAAUUUGAUAAAUAUUCAUCAAUACUUCUCUACAUCACUUAUCUUCUAUUUACAACACUGAGUUAAGUAAAUAUUUAAUAACAUGUCCUUUUAUUAUAAAAAUAAAUAACAAAAAUUUACAAGAGGAUAUUUAAAAAAAAAAAAAAUUGUUCAACUGAGACAUUUCAAUAAUUUUUAUUGUACUCGUUGUAAAAAAAUUCAGAAACAAAUUCACCUGAUUAAUAUUAGGCAAAUUGGGGGAUAUGGCAAGAAAAAAACGGUAAUUGACAGAUUAGCUAUUUUACCUAACGGACAGAUACACGGCGUCAUAUAUACAUAAUAAUACAUUACUAUCUUUUUAAUUAACCAGCUGCACCUGCUACAAAAAUUAAUUAAAAAAUAAUUUCUAAUUGCACAAAGGUAAAUCGUGUCUUCAUCCUAUUCACAUCUUCUCUUUCUCACUUUCUUCGGUAAUUUCUCGAAGUCGAAAGAUCUCUGCCUCCGAUCUGUUCCAACGCCUCGCCUCUGCUUGCAAUCCAAUUUUCAUGUCGGUCGCGGUUGGGUUGUGCGUUACGGUUUCGGCAGCGGGUAGUAACACAGCCGACCUCCCCAACUUUACCAACUCGAUUCUUUUCAGAUCUUUGACAGUCCCAUUAGUUCUCGGUGUUUCUUCGUCGAUUCUAGUUAUUAAAACUUCUUCUCUGCUUAUAUGAUUUUAUUUUGGGAUCCUCUCUGAUGUUCUUAUUAUAAGUUAUUCUUGAACUGGGAUUUUUGUCUCUGCGGUGCAUAGUUCAUGGUGUAGAAAUAUCAAUUUUUGUGUGGAAUAGCAUCUGCAAUAUAUAGAUGUUUCAUCGUAUGUACGUAUCAGUAUAUCUCGUUGCUAUAUGUCAUGUCAAAUGGAAUAGUAUAAGGUUCACAUUAUUCCAUGUUACAUGGAAUCUUACUUUUACAUCAUAUGUCUUUCCAUUCGUUAGCUAUUCAUAUUCGGUUUGACUCAUAAUCCAUUUCUAUAUUGAAUAUUACAGUGUGAACCGUCCUCAAUCUUUGCCUCUCUUACUUUUCAUUUUUUAGGUUUGGUAUGGACGAGUUAAGUAGAUUGUUUCAGGCUUUGAUGUCAAGUGGAUUUAAGUUUCUGGAGAUUUGGGUUGCCUAUGGUGGAUUGGAGUUUAUAUUUCCCUAACUUGAGUCUAGUGUUUAAUGUCAAGUGUUCUAUUACAAGCCCCAUUAGCUUUGUAUUUCAUGUUGCUUGUUCUAUUACCAUCCCCAUUAGUUUUGUAUUUCAUGUUGCUCAUGAGGAAUGUAAAUACAUGUCUCCAGUAUUAUGGCAGGUGGAUUUAAUUUUACAAAGAUUUCGGUUGCCUAUGUAUUGGGGUUUAUAUUUCUCUAAUUUGGGUUUAGUGUUUACUAUCAAGUGUUCUAUUAUCAUCCCCAUUAUCUUUGUAUUUCAUGUGGCUCAUGAGAAAUGUAAAUACAUGUCUCCAGUAUUAUGGCAGGUGGAUUUAAUUUCCUGAAGAUUUGAGUUGCCUAUGGAUUGGCUUUAUAUUUCCUUAAUUUGAGUUUAGUGUUUACUGUUAAGUGUUCUAUUACCAUUUCUAUUAACUUUGUAUUUCAUGUUGCUCAAUAUUGGCUCUAGUAUGCACAUAGUAUCAUUUUAAAUAGUACAUUGUAUAUAGUAUAGAAGUCUUUUCGUAAUGGACGGUGCAAAUGUGUAUGUAACCCUAUAACACAUAUUUAUAAUCAUUAACCUACAUCAUUGAAAUGUGUGUAUGGUUUAUAAAUCAGAGGUUAGGGUUUAGUAUUCCCAGUUAGGAUUUAGUAUUUCCUAAACAACUUUUGUAAUAUGGAAUAGAAUAUGUCGACUAUUCCGUAUAGAAUAGCUUUAUUCAUUUUUAUACUAUACAUAUGGAAUAUAAUACUACUUUUUCAGUUUAGUUUAUGUUGGUUUUAGGUUCAGGUUGGAUAAGAAGUACAUACUUCGAUGGCAGCAUAGAAGUUCAAAAAUGUUACUAUUAAAAUUAUUUACUGUCAAAAAUAUAAACUGUAAAAACAUUUCCUCUCCGUUCUUGUUAAAAAAAAAUUGUGUUUGUGGUUCUCAUCACGACACACAACGCAGGACGUCACAUACUAUCACUUGUAACUAGUUACCUGUUAAUAUAAGGAUCAAAACUGGAUAGUUUGUGUAUGAAAUGUCUAACACUAAAUAACGUCAAAAUCAAAGUUACUUACUUAAUUUAGUCUUGAUUUAUAACUACGCAAAUUAACCCUUGAUAUUAUAUCUUGUGCAUUUUAAACUGGUAUGGUAUAAACCAAUGUGAAGAGUGGGUUUUUAUACUAGAAUUGAAAACUAAUAAAGCAUCUAUUUGAAUUGUAUGCAUUUAUUAUUCUAAAUGAUAACUCAUUUAAAGUUGGAGUAGUUCGAUGGAUAUAUAAUUUAUCGGCAAAUGAUUUCCAAUAUCGUUAAAAUGAUAUAUUAGCCGCUAGAGAGAUAAAACCCACUGACCGAAAGAGCAGCUGUGAUGCUCAAUAAGUGAUUAACGGUGGCGGACAUUACUAAUAGGGCAAAUCUCCAAAAUAGCAACUUUCUAAGUUUAUAUCACAAAAAUAGUACUUAAAAACUAAAAUGACCAAAAUAGCAUUUUAUCUUUUGAAAAAUUUAAUUUUUUUUAUUUUUCAAAAUUUGAAAUCUUAUCCCCAAAACUUCACUUCUCAACUCUAAACCCUAAAACCUAAACUCUAAACCCUAAACCCUAAAUUCUAAACCCUAAACCCUACCCCUUGAAUGCUAUUUUUGUGACUUUUGGCCUUGAGUGUUAGUUUGAGAACAAAAACUUGAUUUAGUGCUAUUUUGGUUUUUUUUCUCUUACUAAUACUGUAUGUUCUAAUAUAUUAAAAACCUUAAAGACAUUUAUAAUAGAAGAAAGGAAUAUGACAUCCAUGUCCUUUUCAUUUUGAUGAUUGAUGUACCAUACAUUUGACCAACAUCAAAUAAAUAGUUUGCCAAAGUUGCGAUUAAUACGACUUAAACAAGGUAUUGUAUAUUUUGCCAAAUUUGGGUAGCUUUUGAUUUCUUAAGAGUUACAUGAUCAUUUAAUUUAUAAUUUAUAUAACAAAAAUUUACAACAUGAUCAUUUUUCAAAAAAAAAAAAUAAUAAUAAUAAUAAUAAUAAUAACUGAAACUUCUAAAUAAAAUUUAACUAUCUUUAAUAUAAUUAAUAAUAUAAAUGUUCAUUUUUAUUCUAUAUUAUUCUCUCAAGACUAAAUAUACAAUAAAAUUCUAAAUUAACAAUGUUUGAACUAUAAUAUUUUAAAAUAUAAUUAUUAAUUUGUAAAAAUUGCUGAAUUCAUAUGUUUUAAUAUAUUUUUUGUAAAUUAUGAUGGUAAUUGUUAUUAAGAAGUCAAUUAGAAUAUAUAAAUUAAAUGUUAUGUUGUUUUAUUUUAUUAUUUCAUAUAUAAAUUAUGUAUUUUGUAAAUGUUUUCAAAUGUUAAAUGAUAGAAUAAUACUUUUUGAAUUAUUAAAAUGAUUAAAGAAUGACUGUAAACAAAAAAAAGUUAUAAUCCUUGUAUAUAUAGAGCUGUUUACAUUGGUUUAUAUGUGUUAAAUAAUGACUGUUAUCAUAUUUAUAUGUGUAUUAUAUAUACUAGAGUCUUUGUCCGGGCUACGCCCGGAUAAAUUUCUUGUUAUAAUUUUUAAUUAAUUUUAGCUUGUUUAUUUUUUAUAAAAGCAUGUAUAUAUAUUAUUUCAAAAUUGACUACCAAAAAUAUAAGUAAUAAUAUGCAAAUUAAUUUAUCAUGUUGUCCAACAAAUUUGAAAUAAAUAAACUCAGGGGUUGAUUGGUAAUGGUGGUAAAUGUUUUAGACAUCCACUUUUUUCUAUUUUUUUUCAAACAAUCAUAUUUUAGCUUUUAAAAUUAAAGAUACAGUAUAAAGUUUUUAAAAAAAUAUAUUAGUUUUCAAAAUCAACUUUUCUAAAGAUUUUAUGCUUUGAAAAUAAAUAUAUAGCAAAACAAUUAAAGCCGAAGCAAAACAAUUCACAGCUUAUUUUCUAAAGUAAAAGCAAAAACAAAAACAAAAACUACAGAACAACCAAUCAACCCCACACUCUAAUUUGAUUUUUAUUUAUUAUUAAAAUUAACAGAAAG